UCCCUGAUGACUGUGGUAAAGAAUCUGCCUGCAGUGCAGGAGACCCAGGUUCAAUCCCUGGAUUGGGAA
rnacentral:tRNA from 1 species